CGUGUAGGUGGUUCUGUAAGUAGGGCGUGAAAGCUCCUGGCUCAACUGGGAGAGGCCGUUCUAAACUGCAGAGCUAGAGGAUGGUAGAGGGAGGUGGAAUUCCGGGUGUAGCGGUGGAAUGCGCAGAUAUCCGGAGGAACACCAGUGGCGAAAGCGGCCUCCUGGACCAUUCCUGACACUCAGACGCGAAAGCUAGGGUAGCAAACG
rnacentral:rRNA from 1 species